rnacentral:lncRNA from 1 species
AGAGAUUGUUAGGUUUUACUGAACAAAAGAGUUUGGAUUUACUUAAAAAAAAAUUGCAAUGAAUACAAAGUAAACAGUAUUACCGUUUCUUCCUCUCAGAUGUUGGACCACAUCACCUACUCGAACAAACCCUUGUUUCUACUUUGUGAUCCACAAGACAAAUGACUUCUUGUUUUCAUGAUUAAAGAUAUAAAAUGGUUUCCAGACACUCCAUUCUUACAGAGGAUACACUCACAAACUUCCUUCCUGACUUAAAGAAAUAUCUACUCAAAUCACUAACAUCUAUGUUGAAGAGCACUGGAGUUUUUUUGUCUAAGAUCCAGGAUGGUGUUGGGGAUUGUUUUCCUUUUGAGGAAUAUCUCUGUUACCCAGUGGCAGAAGUUUAGAGUUACGAAGCCCUCACAGAUCAGAGGAGACAUGGGAGCAGCUGCUUGGAAGACCUCCCAAAAUGAGAGAGACCGAUGGAUGUGAUUUUUAAGAAGUGAGACCACUGCUUUUCAAUCUUAAUGAACGAGUUUACAAAUCUCUUGGAGACUUUGUAAAAAUGUCUAUUUUGGGGGUGAGACCUGAGUUUUUUGCAUUUCUGACAAGCCCUCAGUGAUGCUAAUGUUGCUGGUCCGUGGACCACACUUUGCUUGGUGGCAAGGAUUCGGACCGUUCACUCUAUGAAAGCACUCUUCCUCAAAGGUUCUGAAAAAAACUCAAGAAUUAAACUGCUUUUCAUGAUUUUUUUCCUUGCUACUUUAUGAUUCUUUGCCAGGAGUGACUGAUUCAUUCAUUCAUUUGUAGGCUUCUUGCCAGUGUGGAGCCUAAUGUGAGGUUUGAACUCAUGACCCUGAGAUCAAAACCUGAGCUGAGAUCGAGGCGGAUGCUUAACUGACUGAGCCACCCAGGCGCCCCAAGGUUGCCAGGAUUUACACAGCAUUUGUGAAACCUACAGUUACCCUUGGGUGAUAAUGUUGUACCAGGACCUGUAUCCUAUACAGACCUGUGUCUGUAUGAUAAUCAGAAGAUAAAACAGCUUUGUCUGAUUUUGGAAACAGUAUAACAAUAUUGCAUUAAAAAAAAAAAAAAACAAACCCAUGAUCCCAAAGACCAUUUGUUAAACAUCCACUCUGUUCCAAACACUCUACCAGGUCCUGGGGAUUCAAAGUUGAAAAUUACAUCACCCCUACUGGCAAAGAUCUGAAUUCCAUGGAGUUGGGUGCUAUGGUAGGUUAUGCAUAAAUGACAGGGGAAACAGAUGGAAAACCAACCUGCAUAUGGGGAAGAGUAAAAGGCCACUGAGAAGAGUUAAGCCUUGAAUGAUAGGUAAAGCUGACCUGUCAGGAAAGGGGGAGAGAACAUUCUCUGCAGUAAAACUGGCAGGUGCCAAGAUGUGGAGGCAGUUGCCUUUGCAGCAGACUUCUGAUGGUGGGUGUUUUGCUCUUUACCUGACAAAUUCACUACCAACCAAAUAAAAUUAGCAUUGUACUGAGAAAUAGUAUUAUGUUAUUUACAGUGACAAAUAAUUGAAAUGAGAAACAGGUAUUUCUUCUAAGAAAAUACUUGAAAAAGCAAGUGGAUAUUAAAUUUUCUAUAAUUACUGUCUGCACUGUCUUUUAAAUGAAGCUUUGUAAAAGAAAUAAAAAGAAAAGGAUGUGUUUUGCAUCAGGGCCCAGUUCCCUGACGAGGAAGCUACGAGAACAUGCAUCAGAAGCAGCCCCUACUGCUUUCAGGCACAAGACUAGUUUCCCUGUGAUAUUAGAGACAGUCGCUUUUGACUGUGAUUUUUAGGAUAUCUCCACAUACAGGGUCAGCCUUUCAAGAAACCAGCUCUGUAUGGUCUGUCUUCUUGUUUUGUUUCUUCCCAUCACCCAAACUAACUGAUAGACCUUUUUUUUUUUUUUUUUUUUUUUACUGAUAGACAUUUUUAAGGGCUACGCUGUACGGCACAAGCUUCAACUAUAGCUAAUGUUAAAUUCAUUUGUUUGCUAUACACCUAUUCAUUUUUCAGUAUUUUAUGCUGAGCACUGUCCUAGGCUUUGAAAGUAAAAUGACAAAGCAGACAGGGGGGAUCCCUAACCCCAAGAAGCUUACAUUCUACUGGAAGCACCACCAAGCAAUAUGGAACUCGAUUUCAUAAGCGGUUCUCAAAGUGUGGUCCAUGGAACUUCAGGGCUCCCCAAGACCCUUGUUGUAGGCCCAUGGGGUCAUAAAACUUUUCCUAAUAACACUAAGAUGUUUGCUCCCUCUCCCUGCUUGUGACAAUUGCACAGAUGGUGCAGAAACAAUGAC